rnacentral:rRNA from 2 species
CUGGUGUCAGCCGCCGCGGUAAUACCAGCACCCCGAGUGGUCGGGACGUUUAUUGGGCCUAAAGCAUCCGUAGCCGGUUCUGCAAGUCUUCCGUUAAAUCCACCUGCUUAACAGAUGGGCCGCGGAAGAUACUAUAGAGCUAGGAGGCGGGAGAGGCAAGCGGUACUCGAUGGGUAGGGGUAAAAUCCGUUGAUCCAUUGAAGACCACCAGUGGCGAAGGCGGCUUGCCAGAACGCGCUCGACGGUGAGGGAUGAAAGCUGGGGGAGCAAACCGGAUUAGAUACCCGGGUAGUCCCAGCUGUAAACGAUGCAGACUCGGUGAUGAAUUGGCUUCAUGCCAAUUCAGUGCCGCAGGGAAGCCGUUAAGUUUGCCGCCUGGGGAGUACGGUCGCAAGACUGAAACUUAAAG